rnacentral:rRNA from 1 species
UAGGGAAUCUUCCGCAAUGGGCGAAAGCCUGACGGAGCAACGCCGCGUGAGUGAUGAAGGUCUUCGGUUCGUAAAACUCUGUUAUUAGGGAAGAACAAAUGUGUAAGUAACUAUGCACGCCUUGACGGUACCUAAUCAGAAAGCCACGGCUAACUACGUGCCAGCAGCCGCGGUAAUACGUAGGUGGCAAGCGUUAUCCGGAAUUAUUGGGCGUAAAGCGCGCGUAGGCGGUUUUUUAAGUCUGAUGUGAAAGCCCACGGCUCAACCGUGGAGGGUCAUUGGAAACGGGAAAUCAUGAGUGCAGAAGCGGAAAGUGGAAUUCCAUGUGUAGCGGUGAAAUGCGCAGGGUUAUGGGGGAACACCAGUGGCGAAGGCGACUUUCUGGUCUGUAACUGACGCUGCUGUGCGAAAGCGUGGGGAUCAAACAGG